rnacentral:rRNA from 1 species
GGUAAGGGGGGGCGGGCAGCGUGGGUGAUAGGUAGGGUGCGGGCGUUAAUGGGAAUUACGGGGGGUGAAGGGUUGGUGGGCGGUUUGUGUAGAGGGAUGUGAAAUCCCCGGGCUUAACCUGGGAACUGCGUUUCUAACUGGCAAGCUGGAGUGUGGCAGAGGGGGGUGGAAUUCCACGUGUAGCAGUGAAAUGCGUAGAGAUGUGGAGGAACACCGAUGGCGAAGGCAGCCCCCUGGGCUAACACUGACGCUCAUGCACGAAAGCGUGGGGAGCAAACAGGAUUAGAUACCCGUGUAGUC